AGAGUUUGAUCAUGGCUCAGAUUGAACGCUGGCGGCAGGCCUAACACAUGCAAGUCGAACGGUAACAGGAAGCAGCUUGCUGCUUUGCUGACGAGUGGCGGACGGGUGAGUAAUGUCUGGGAAACUGCCUGAUGGAGGGGGAUAACUACUGGAAACGGUGGCUAAUACCGCAUAACGUCGCAAGACCAAAGAGGGGGACCUUCGGGCCUCUUGCCAUCAGAUGUGCCCAGAUGGGAUUAGCUUGUUGGUGAGGUAACGGCUCACCAAGGCGACGAUCCCUAGCUGGUCUGAGAGGAUGACCAGCCACACUGGAACUGAGACACGGUCCAGACUCCUACGGGAGGCAGCAGUGGGGAAUAUUGCACAAUGGGCGCAAGCCUGAUGCAGCCAUGCCGCGUGUAUGAAGAAGGCCUUCGGGUUGUAAAGUACUUUCAGCGGGGAGGAAGGUGUUGUGGUUAAUAACCGCAGCAAUUGACGUUACCCGCAGAAGAAGCACCGGCUAACUCCGUGCCAGCAGCCGCGGUAAUACGGAGGGUGCAAGCGUUAAUCGGAAUUACUGGGCGUAAAGCGCACGCAGGCGGUCUGUCAAGUCGGAUGUGAAAUCCCCGGGCUCAACCUGGGAACUGCAUUCGAAACUGGCAGGCUUGAGUCUUGUAGAGGGGGGUAGAAUUCCAGGUGUAGCGGUGAAAUGCGUAGAGAUCUGGAGGAAUACCGGUGGCGAAGGCGGCCCCCUGGACAAAGACUGACGCUCAGGUGCGAAAGCGUGGGGAGCAAACAGGAUUAGAUACCCUGGUAGUCCACGCCGUAAACGAUGUCUACUUGGAGGUUGUGCCCUUGAGGCGUGGCUUCCGGAGCUAACGCGUUAAGUAGACCGCCUGGGGAGUACGGCCGCAAGGUUAAAACUCAAAUGAAUUGACGGGGGCCCGCACAAGCGGUGGAGCAUGUGGUUUAAUUCGAUGCAACGCGAAGAACCUUACCUGGUCUUGACAUCCACAGAAGAAUCCAGAGAUGGAUUUGUGCCUUCGGGAACUGUGAGACAGGUGCUGCAUGGCUGUCGUCAGCUCGUGUUGUGAAAUGUUGGGUUAAGUCCCGCAACGAGCGCAACCCUUAUCCUUUGUUGCCAGCGGUUCGGCCGGGAACUCAAAGGAGACUGCCAGUGAUAAACUGGAGGAAGGUGGGGAUGACGUCAAGUCAUCAUGGCCCUUACGACCAGGGCUACACACGUGCUACAAUGGCGCAUACAAAGAGAAGCGACCUCGCGAGAGCAAGCGGACCUCAUAAAGUGCGUCGUAGUCCGGAUUGGAGUCUGCAACUCGACUCCAUGAAGUCGGAAUCGCUAGUAAUCGUGGAUCAGAAUGCCACGGUGAAUACGUUCCCGGGCCUUGUACACACCGCCCGUCACACCAUGGGAGUGGGUUGCAAAAGAAGUAGGUAGCUUAACCUUCGGGAGGGCGCUUACCACUUUGUGAUUCAUGACUGGGGUGAAGUCGUAACAAGGUAACCGUAGGGGAACCUGCGGUUG
rnacentral:rRNA from 1 species